rnacentral:rRNA from 1 species
GAUGAACGCUGGCGGCGUGCCUAAUACAUGCAAGUCGAGCGAACAGACGAGGAGCUUGCUCCUCUGACGUUAGCGGCGGACGGGUGAGUAACACGUGGAUAACCUACCUAUAAGACUGGGAUAACUUCGGGAAACCGGAGCUAAUACCGGAUAAUAUAUUGAACCGCAUGGUUCAAUAGUGAAAGACGGUUUUGCUGUCUCUUAUAGAUGGAUCCGCGCCGCAUUAGCUAGUUGGUAAGGUAACGGCUUACCAAGGCGACGAUGCGUAGCCGACCUGAGAGGGUGAUCAGCCACACUGGAACUGAGACACGGUCCAGACUCCUACGGGAGGCAGCAGUAGGGAAUCUUGCGCAAUGGGCGCAAGCCUGACGGAGCAACGCCGCGUGAGUGAUGAAGGUCUUCGGAUCGUAAAACUCUGUUAUUAGGGAAGAACAAAUGUGUAAGUAACUAUGCACGUCUUGACGGUACCUAAUCAGAAAGCCACGGCUAACUACGUG